rnacentral:tRNA from 1 species
GGGGGUAUAGCUCAGUGGUAGAGCAUCUGACUGCAGAUCAAGAGGUUCCCAGUUCAAAUCUGGGUGACCCCU